UACGUAGGGUGCAAGCGUUAAUCGGAAUUACUGGGCGUAAAGGGCGCGUAGGCGGCCUGCUAAGUCGGAUGUGAAAUCCCUCGGCUCAACCGAGGAACUGCAUCCGAUACUGGCGGGCUUGAAUCCGGGAGAGGGAUGUGGAAUUCCAGGUGUAGCGGUGAAAUGCGUAGAUAUCGGGAGGAACACCUGUGGCGAAGGCGGCCCCCUGGUUGGAUACUGACGCUGAUACGCGAAAGCGUGGGGAGCAAACAGG
rnacentral:rRNA from 1 species